rnacentral:rRNA from 1 species
UGGGGACAACGUUUCGAAAGGAACGCUAAUACCGCAUACGUCCUACGGGAGAAAGCAGGGGACCUUCGGGCCUUGCGUCUAUCAGAUGAGCCUAGGUCGGAUUAGCUAGUUGGUGAGGUAAUGGCUCACCAAGGCGACGAUCCGUAACUGGUCUGAGAGGAUGAUCAGUCACACUGGAACUGAGACACGGUCCAGACUCCUACGGGAGGCAGCAGCC